rnacentral:misc_RNA from 1 species
UACCCUUGACAUGUCCAGUAUGGGUUUCAGAGAUGAGAUCCUUCAGUUCGGCUGGCUGGAACACAGGUGCUGCAUGGCUGUCGUCAGCUCGUGUCGUGAGAUGUUGGGUUAAGUCCCGCAACGAGCGCAACCCUCGCCUUUAGUUGCCAUCAUUUAGUUGGGCACUCUAGAGGGACUGCCGGUGAUAAGCCGGAGGAAGGUGGGGAUGACGUUUCCAGGUUAGG